rnacentral:tRNA from 1 species
UCCCUUGUGGCUCAGCUGGUAAAGAAUCCACCUGCAAUGCGGGAGACCCAGGUUCGAUCCCUGGUUUGGGAA